GCGGGGGCGGGGGGGGGGGCGGGGAAGCGGGGUGGAGGGAGGCAGGAGCUUCAGUUGUACCUAAAGGCUCGAGAUCAAAGCUUUCUGGCUUCCAGAUGGGGACCGCGGGGAGGGCUGCCCACUCGGGGGCAGGCAAGGCUGAGCACCCCCGCCCCUUCCUCGGAAAGCCCCCGGGGGAUGUGGCGGUGACAGCUGUGCCCCAGCCCGCGCCCGGCGGGUUUCCUUUUCCUGUGCUCACUCUCCCGACUGGCUGGCCAGCAGCCUGGAGACACCAGUCCGGCCCUUUUGAAGGGGCUCCCCAGAGGGUCAUCCUGGACGAGGGGGAGGGGACUGACAGAACAAUGGGCUUCUGUAGCUGCUGGACGGCCAGGCGCUUCCUGUUAACCCUUCCCUCGGGGGUGCAGCUUGGGGGAGCAUCUCAGGGGCCUGGCCUGUGGAAAGGGAGCCGGAGGGGAUUUGUCCACCGAGCUAGCGAACAGGCAGCUCUUUCUCUCCCGUCCCAGGUCUUGUUUUCACAAAUGAUCAGAAAGGGCAAGGCGAAUGCACCCCUUGCGGUCCUCAGUGGAGUGAUAGAGCCUGGUUCUCUGCUCUCUGAGCUAGCCAGAGAGGUUCACCCUCAGGAGAGUCUGUGGGGCUCCAGGAGCUUCUGAGGGUCCCUGGAGCCCCAGCAUCCGGCCCCGGAGGCUUUUGGGUAGUUACAGGCCAGACAACAUGCCCUGUUCUAAGAAGAGACUGCACACAGUGAUGCCUCCCACCCAGCCAGGUGCUGUGCCUGGCCCUCCCACAUUCUCAGUUAUCCAUCACUGCAAGCCUAAAUCAGAACUAAAGUAGGCCUGGGGCACCCGGGCGGCGCAGUCCGUGAAGCAUCCGACGCUUGAUCUCCGCUCAGGUCAUGAUCGCGCAGUUCGUGGGUUCGAGCCUCAUGUCAGUCUCUGCACUGAUGGUGUGGAGCCUGCUUGGGAUCCUCUCUCUCCUGCUCCCUGCCCCUCCCUCACUUGUGUGCUAGCAGGGCUCUCUGCUGUCUCGCUCGCUCUCUCUCAAAAGAAACAAAAAAAUUA